GGGUUCAGCUGCAAGCUCAACUCAGGGAAUUGGAUUAACCUAAGAAAACUGACUUGGCGUCUCUUGUUGAAAGCCAUACGGUCUAGCCCAACUACUAUGCUUGUGUUUCAUGCCAGAGUCCCUCCAGAUGGCUGGUGAGUUUGGCUUCAGUUAAUGGUACUGGGCCUUUUUCUGUUUGGCUUAAACAUAAGCAAAACUCAAUCUUACUGAUAUAAUUUAAUGUGAAAUGAGAAUUUGUUAACCGAUUAGCUGAAGUAAUGAGUGCAAUUUCCUGCAAGGCAAAAAUUUCUUGUUGUCCUUCUAAAUCUGCUUGUAGUUGAAGGCUUGAAGAAACCAAAAUGUUCCUUCUUUGGUGUUAUCUGACGCUUUUUUGUUGAAUGGUAUUUUUACACCUUUUUUGAACUUGCUGCACAGAUAUGUUUGAUGGGUACCUCUAAUUUCUGUAGUUUUUGGUCUUUGCAUGCAUUAACAACGCCCGCGAUUUCUCUAUC